rnacentral:lncRNA from 1 species
GGGUGAGAGAAGACAUGCAGAAGUCUGGAGCAGACAGCAAAAAGCAAAAGGAAAAGAAGUCCAAAGGCUUGUAGUCUUUAUAGGUUUCAGAGUGGGAGCGGAGGAAGAAAUCUCUGAGUUGGAGUGUACUACAGUGCACUGAAGUGGGGGAAAUCUGACUCGCCCUGCUUGGGGCUCAGCAUAGUCAUUUGGAAAGGGCGUUAUCUGCCUGUGUGCAUCGCUCGUGUGUGACCCACUCCAUUGAGUUAAUCACCUCACUAUGUUAUUGCUCAUUCUCACAAUACUUUUCUUCACAGCCCCUUCAUUGUGAUCUCUGGCACAGCUGUGGCAAGCUGCUCCGUCAGUUCUCUUAGCAACAGCUUUUGCCAGUGGUUUAACGUGUAGUAUUUUCCAGGCUUUUCGAGGCUUUUCUAUCUUUUUUGUGGUUUAGUUAUAGCAAGAAGACCGUUAACAAUAAACAAAGCUGGCUUGGGAGUUAAACAGAUUCGUCCUCAGGCACUGGCACCCUUUCCUUUGACGUGUUGCUGUUGCUGACUAAACAGUUUCCAAGAUUAUUAGGAAAGGCAGAGUCUUCAUUGUAUCUAUGCUUUGUUUCAAUCAUAUGAGAUACUGGCCAACCAGAGCACCACUGCAGGCUGUGAAUCUGCCAUCAUUUGGUUCCUUUUAAACCACAUCCCACAGCAGUUACUAAGGGCCUGGCUGAGACCAAAUUGAAUUUGUCUGUGGCUUCGUUCAAAGAUGAUAUGGAUGCUGGGACUGUACAGGAAGGAAAUGAUGUCUGAAGUGAGGGAAGAUGGACUGUUAAUUCAAACAACACAAUUCCACCUGCUGUCAAGAAUGAUUACAGAUCAGAAGGGUUGGGCUAUUCUGCCUGGAGCAGAAGUCUCUUCGCAAAACUGCAUUGGGCAGUUCUUGGAAACACAGACACCUGGAUGGAGAUGCAUUUUUGUCAAAAGAAAAGCCAGAAAACAUUUGCACAGAUGUGGCUAACACAGGAGGUCAUGAUCUCAUUUCAUAUGUCACUGCUAAUCUUAGCUGAGAUAAUUACAUACAUAUGGGCUGUUUUAAAUGUGAAGUCAACAGGAAAGUAUCCAGCUACAUGUGGUAGUUCAAGUAAAUCAGAUUUAACUGCAACAGCCAGCAGCUGCGGAUAUUAGGUGAAUAUUAGAUGUUCCUUGAAGAAAUUUAUCUAAAAAAACCCAAAACCACAGAAAUUUACAUGUAUUCAUUCUUUGUCUCUACGGCUAAUACAAAUAUGGAUAGAACCUAUGUUAACAUCUCAUAACGUUCAAGUAAUAAUCCAAAUAUAAUUUAGAGUUACUUGUUUGUAUAUGUAUUUCAGAAUAUGGCAGAAUGAAAAUUCUCUGUCUAGGAAAAGAUGCACCAUAUUGCCUAAAUAGCUGUAUUGCUGGGUGUCUGCUGCCGAGUCAUGGCUAAGAUAUAG